rnacentral:rRNA from 1 species
GGACUACUGGGGUAUCUAAUCCUGUUUGAUCCCCACGCUUUCGCGCCUCAGCGUCAAUGUCGGUCCAGUUGGCCGCCUUCGCCACGGGUGUUCUUCCCAAUCUCUACGAAUUUCACCUCUACACUGGGAAUUCCACCAACCUCUACCGAAUUCAAGCAAGGCAGUCUUGAAUGCAAUUCCAGGGUUGAGCCCUGGGCUUUCACAUCCAACUUGCCAAGCCGCCUACGCGCCCUUUACGCCCAGUAAUUCCGAACAACGCUAGCUCCCUUCGUAUUACCGCGGCUGCUGGCAC